rnacentral:rRNA from 1 species
UACGGGGGGAGCAAGCGUUGUUCGGAUUUACUGGGCGUAAAGGGCGCGUAGGCGGCCAGCACAAGUCAGUUGUGAAAUCUCCGAGCUUAACUCGGAAAGGUCAACUGAUACUGUGCGGCUAGAGUGCGGAAGGGGCAACUGGAAUUCUUGGUGUAGCGGUGAAAUGCGUAGAUAUCAAGAGGAACACCUGCGGCGAAGGCGGGUUGCUGGGCCGACACUGACGCUGAGGCGCGAAAGCCAGGGAAGCGAACGGG